rnacentral:rRNA from 1 species
UAAUAGCGUAUAUUAAAGUUGUUGCAGUUAAAAGCUCGUAGUCGUAUCUAGGGCUUGGGCUGAGGGUCCUCGUAAGGGUGGCACUCUGAGUACCAGCCUCCCUCGCGGCUUGUCGCCCGGUUCUCUUAACUGAGUGCCGGGUGCGGCCGGAACGUUUACUUUGAAAAAUUGGAGUGUUCAAAGCAGGCGCAACAGCCUGAACAGUAGAGCAUGGAAUAAUGGAAUAGGACCUCGGUUCUAUUGCGUUGGUUUUAAGAGUCCGAGGUAAUGAUUGAGAGGGACUGACGGGCAUGCGUUAUUUGCGGUGUGAGAGGUGAAAUUCUUGGAUCGCCGCAAGACGACCGGUAGCGAAAAGCGUUUGCCAAGAAUGUCUUCAUUGAUCAAGAACGAAAGUUAGAGGUUCGAAGACGAUCAGAUACCGUCUGAGACUGCGAAGGCACACAGGGAU